rnacentral:rRNA from 1 species
AGGACGAACGCUGGCGGCGUGCCUAACACAUGCAAGUCGAACGGGGGCAGCAAUGCCCCAGUGGCGAACGGGUGCGUAACACGUGAAGAACUUGUCCAUCGGCGGGGGAUAGCCGGCCCAACGGCCGGGUAAUACCGCGUACGCUUGCCUGGUGGCAUCACCGGGCACGGAAAGCAGCAAUGCACCGAUGGAGAGCUUCGCGGCCUAUCAGCUUGUUGGCGGGGUAAUGGCCCACCAAGGCGACGACGGGUAGCUGGUCUGAGAGGAUGAUCAGCCACAUUGGGACUGAGACACGGCCCAGACUCCUACGGGAGGCAGCAGUGGGGAAUAUUGCGCAAUGGGCGAAAGCCUGACGCAGCGACGCCGCGUGUGGGAUGACGGCCUUCGGGUUGUAAACCACUGUCGCGAGGGACGAAGAUCUGACGGUACCUCGAAAGGAAGCACCGGCUAACUCUGUGCCAGCAGCCGC